rnacentral:misc_RNA from 1 species
UGUAAGGAAGGAGGGUUACGUGAAGGCGGAGGCGACGAGAGCGAGCGAGAGGUGCGGAGCGAGAUUAGGCGAGACAUGAAUUCGUUGUCACCGUUCACGCCACCGAUAGUGAAACGUUUGUUAGGUUGGAAGAAAGGAGAAUCGGAAAAAGAAGAUAAGUGGUCCGAAAAGGCGGUGAAGAGCUUGGUAAAGAAGCUGAAAAAAUGUGGAGGCAUUGACGAGCUGGAGAAGGCGAUAACCACCCAGGAGUCGAACACCAAGUGCAUCACGAUAGCCAGGGGCGGCUUGGCUGGGGUUGAACACUUUCAAAAUUACUGCUCUUUAGAUGGUCGGUUGCAAGUAUCUCACCGCAAGGGCCAUCCGCACGUGAUUUAUUGCCGUCUGUGGCGGUGGCCAGAUCUACAAAACCAUCAGGAAUUGAGGGCUGUCGAGAACUGUGAAUACGCUUACCAUUUGAAACGUGAAGAAGUUUGUGUGAAUCCUUACCACUAUACCAGAGUGGAGGCCCCAGUCCUUCCUCCGGUUCUGGUACCUCGACACCAACCCAAUGAGAUUCCCGCCAGGGAGAACUUCCCGCCACUGACUGACUAUGCAACAACAGUACCAAACACAGACUUCCCGGCUGGAGUUGAUGAAAAUACAUUCAAUAUACCAGAAACUCCACCUCCGGGCUAUAUUAGUGAGGAUGGUGACACUACAGACAACCAAGGAAUGGAUGGCGUUGAUUUGUCUCCAAGUCCCCCUAUAGAUGCUCAGCCUGUGACAUAUCGAGAGCCAGAUUUCUGGUGUUCGAUUGCCUACUACGAACUAAACACCAGAGUAGGCGAGACUUUUCAUGCCUCACAGCCGUCUCUCACCGUCGAUGGCUUCACCGAUCCUUCCAACUCUGAGCGCUUCUGUCUUGGUCUGCUGUCCAACAUUAAUAGAACACAACAAGUGGAGAUGACUAGAAGACACAUUGGUCGAGGGGUGAGGUUGUAUUACAUUGGAGGGGAAGUGUUUGCCGAAUGCCUCAGUGAAAGUGCAGUUUUUGUCCAGAGUCCAAACUGUAACCAACGGUACGGAUGGCACCCAGCAACUGUCUGUAAAAUACCCCCAGGCUGUAAUUUGAAAAUCUUCAACAAUCAAGAGUUUGCUGCCAUGCUGGGGCAAUCUGUGAAUCAAGGCUUUGAAUCGGUCUAUCAACUCACCAGAAUGUGUACUAUACGAAUGAGUUUUGUGAAGGGGUGGGGAGCCGAAUACAGACGACAGACAGUAACGAGUACGCCAUGUUGGAUAGAGAUCCAUCUGAACGGGCCUCUUCAGUGGCUGGAUCGUGUCCUUACACAAAUGGGCUCUCCGGGCCUGCCUUGCUCCAGCAUGUCCUAAGAGAGUGCUUACUGUUAAGGUGUGUACAUGUGCGUAUGAGCACGAGAAAGCAUGCAUGCGUAAGGGUGCGUGAGUGCGUGCGUGUGUGUGUGUGCGUGUGUGUGCGUGUAUGUCACUGCUGUUCCUGCUGCUGUUCACGUUCACAAUGUCGAUGAUGAUGGUGGUGGUGGUGGUGGUGGUGGUGGUGAUGAUGAUGGUAAAAUUUGUGCUGGUGGUGGCAGCAGUGGUGGCGACGACGACGACGAUGGUGGUGGUGGUGGGCGGGGUUGGGUUGUUUGGCUGACAGUCGACGACAAGAAGCUUGUAGAAUCGGAUGAAGGUGGUGGUGUUGGUGGUGAUGGAGGGGAGGAUUGAAAGAGGAGGAGGAGGAGGAGAUCGUUGUAGGGUAGAGGUGGUUGCACCGGUGGUGGUGGUGGUGGUAGUGGUGUUGUUGUUGUAGGAGCGCUUUAACGAGUCGAUGUACGCGAGGAUGUGAGCUGUGUCAAAUGGCUGGAACAUGGGACGUUUUGGCACAGCUGUUUUGCCGCCGCCUCAUUGGCACUGCUGGUUUGAUGCUGACUUACUUGACAUCAGACGUUCUAAUGUCUUUCUCAUUCCCUCCCUUCUUCCCUCCCUCCCUCCCUCCUUCUCUCUGUCUGUUUAUGUGUGUGUUCGUAUUUCUAAUUAUGUUGUCUGAAGAGAUGGAAAGAGUUUAUGUCAAGCGUCAUUAUUCUCUCUCUCUCUCUCUCUUUAUGUCUGUCUGUCUGUCUCCUCUUAUUUCUCUUUCUGUGUCUGAGGAGAAGGACACAGUUUAUGCCAUUCAAAACCUCAUUCAAUUAAUUUCUCUUUCUCUGUGUGUGUAUAACCUGCUGCGCAUGCACGCGUGUACACGUCAGCGUGCGUUGGCACGCCAGUGCUAAAAAUUCCCCCUCACCGAAACCGGUUCGACGAUCCAGUCAGCUCAGCCGAGCCGAGCCGAAAUCGUCGGCGACCAAACAGCUGCGCCCAAACGGCCCCAUCCCGAGUCUAGGUGCGAGGGCAGGGAGAGAUGGCAGGCGAACACGGUGUCCCGUAGCCAGCAGGUGUAAUAUGGGGGGGGCGAUGGGAUGGAGUGAAGGGAGACUAGAGAGACUCACUGGUGGUGGUCGUGGCUGGAAGGUAGAAGAUAAAAUAUAAUUUGGUGGCUUUAGUUAUUUAUAUAUAGAUGUAAAAAUCAAAGAAAUGUCUUUGUAGAUUCUUCUUCUUAUCAUCAAUUCGUAAUGCAUUGUGUUGGCUGAAAUGCCUACUGGCAUUGUUUCUGACGCUUUGUGCUCUGGGUUCAAAUCCUGCCUAGGUCUACUUUACAUUUCAUCCUUUUAGGGUCUAUAAAAUAGAUACCAAUCUAGCACCGGUGGUUGUUUUAAUUGACUAGUCCUUUUCACCGCAAAAUUUUCAGGCUUUGUGCCUAUAAUAAGAUGGAUUAUUAUUAUUAUUAUUAUUGUUAUUAUUAUUGUUGUUGUUGUUAUGGUGGCAAGUUGGCUGAACCAUUAGCUUAAUGGGUAAAACGCCGAGCUCCGAGUUCAGAUUCCGCUGAGGUCAACUUUGCUCUUGAAGCUUUCGGGGUUGAUUAAAUAAGUACCAGUUGUACACUGGGGGAGUGGGGGGGAGAUGUAAUCGACACCCCUCCCCUCAAAAUUGCUCUUACACACACACACACAUAUAUAAAUCAGACUGGAGUCUGGUGCAGCCUUCCAGCUUGCCAGUCCUGGUCAAACCGUCCAAUGCUACGGUUUUCACUCUAUACUACUUUUUAUACAACUACUACAACUACUACUACAGUAACCCAUACCAGCAUGGACAACGGACAUUAAGUGAUGAUACACACACAAGACGGGCUUCCAUAUAGUUUCCAUCCACCAAAUUCAUUCACAAGGCAUUGGUUGGCCCCAGUUUCUUAACCAUAGAGCCACACCAUCUAUUUCUUGUUUAGACCCCUUCCACCCAUGCCAGCCCCGACUGAACAUUCCAGUUGUGACCAUAAUUUGUAUAGGCAUAGUAUAACUUGCACUGCAUUUACUCAGUGUGUCCUUCCUGGCAAAGAUGGUUUGUGUGUGAUUUAUGCGAGAUUUGGCUGUUAUUUCUAGCAGGUCGGUUGACCACAAUUUGACCUCUACAUGGUAGCUAGACCUGGUAGAAAUAGCAGCCAAAUCUCCCUCAAAUCACACUGUACUGUCUUUUGUAUGUAUAUA